rnacentral:rRNA from 1 species
AGAGUUUGAUCAUGGCUCAGAUUGAACGCUGGCGGCAUGCCUUACACAUGCAAGUCGAACGGCAGCACGGGGGCAACCCUGGUGGCGAGUGGCGAACGGGUGAGUAAUACAUCGGAACGUGUCCUGUAGUGGGGGAUAGCCCGGCGAAAGCCGGAUUAAUACCGCAUACGAUCUGUGGAUGAAAGCGAGGGAUCUUCGGACCUCGCGCUACAGGGGCGGCCGAUGGCAGAUUAGCUAGUUGGUGGGGUAAAGGCCUACCAAGGCGACGAUCUGUAGCUGGUCUGAGAGGACGACCAGCCACACUGGGACUGAGACACGGCCCAGACUCCUACGGGAGGCAGCAGUGGGGAAUUUUGGACAAUGGGCGAAAGCCUGAUCCAGCAAUGCCGCGUGUGUGAAGAAGGCCUUCGGGUUGUAAAGCACUUUUGUCCGGAAAGAAAACCUCGUGGUUAAUACCCGUGGGGGAUGACGGUACCGGAAGAAUAAGCACCGGCUAACUACGUGCCAGCAGCCGCGGUAAUACGUAGGGUGCAAGCGUUAAUCGGAAUUACUGGGCGUAAAGCGUGCGCAGGCGGUUCGCUAAGACAGAUGUGAAAUCCCCGGGCUUAACCUGGGAACUGCAUUUGUGACUGGCGGGCUAGAGUAUGGCAGAGGGGGGUAGAAUUCCACGUAGCAGUGAAAUGCGUAGAGAUGUGGAGGAAUACCGAUGGCGAAGGCAGCCCCCUGGGCCAAUACUGACGCUCAUGCACGAAAGCGUGGGGAGCAAACAGGAUUAGAUACCCCCGUAGUCC